AUACGUAGGUGGCAAGCGUUGUCCGGAAUUAUUGGGCGUAAAGCGCGCGCAGGUGGUUCCUUAAGUCUGAUGUGAAAGCCCCCGGCUCAACCGGGGAGGGUCAUUGGAAACUGGGGAACUUGAGUGCAGAAGAGGAUAGUGGAAUUCCAAGUGUAGCGGUGAAAUGCGUAGAGUUUUGGAGGAACACCAGUGGCGAAGGCGACUGUCUGGUCUGUAACUGACACUGAGGCGCGAAAGCGUGGGGAGCAAACAGGAUUAGAUACCCUGGUAGUCCACGCCGUAAACGAUGAGUGCUAAGUGUUGGGGGGUUUCCGCCCCUCAGUGCUGCAGCUAACGCAUUAAGCACUCCGCCUGGGGAGUACGGUCGCAAGACUGAAACUCAAAGGAAUUGACGGGG
rnacentral:rRNA from 1 species